AGCGAGGUGGGAGGGGAGAGUGACCUCUAGGGAAGGGGGACCGAGGAGGGGGAGGUGGUUUGAGGCUCCAUUCCUCCUCCGGGCCGGGCCAUCCAACUGCAGCGGGACCCGUGGGCCCCGGAAACGGACGACGAGUAGAGGCCGGGGAUCCGCGGCCGCCGGGGCUCAGAACGGGUGAGGCACCGUAAGCCAGUUGAACUCUGCAUCCAGAAAGCCCAAGAUUGAAGAAGAAAGAUCAGAGACGUUGACUAACCUGGAAACAGGGACCUCUUUGGAACUUUGUUUUCAUCCGCACUACCCUUUCAAAAGUAUCUUCGAACAGAAUUGAUUUCAUCUUAUUUUGCUUAUUGGGAAGAACAUGGCUUCAGGGAUUUUACAUUUCCCUUUAGUUUUGCAUGAACUCUAUAGGAAACAGAGCCCUUAAAGGGCUUGGGAAUAAUAAGAAGAGAUUGAAGACAGACAAGCUUGCUCUCUCUCUCCUAUUUUCCCUCCCCCUUCAAAGAAAAGGAUUUACAACUCAACCCUGUAACAGCUGCUGCCCAGCUUUAGCCAUCAAGAGAAAAUAAAUAAAAUUAAACCACCAUUGCCAGACGACAAGCCCUGAAGUCAAGGUGUGGGAGUGGUGGCAUUGAGAAAACUGCCUAAAAAGGACAAGGACUGCAGUAGAAACAGCUUCUCUAAAGCUGGAAGGGGCCCCAGGUUCCUUCAUGGAUUAAAAUAGAAUCACAGGGCACACCUCUUUUAGGUGCAGCUCACAUUUUGUGGAAGUGUGGUAGUCGUGGAGGUGCUGCAGUGUCUCCUCGGAAGAAUUUUUCCUUGCCCGAAGUGUCCUGCUCUGCCCUGAUAUUCUCCCCUUCUUUCCUUUUGAAGACUUGCCUCCAUCCAUGAGCUAUUCCUUGAUCUGUCUGACUGCCCAUGUUCUCCACCUGCAACCAUUUGCAU
rnacentral:lncRNA from 1 species